rnacentral:lncRNA from 10 species
AAAAAAAAAAAGAAUGUAGGCUCCGGUUCAGACUGCAUUUUUGACUGCAAUGUAUGCUGGAGCUGAGUAGCUUGCCUUCUGGAAUUUGCUGCCAUCCUUACCACUCACACAGUGAAUGCUUAUGUAGUUAUACUUGGUCCCUUCCUUCACAUACUUACCUGCUUGACCCUAGUCUUUGAGUUUGCCACCCCUGCUUCAAGUAUUUCAGUUUAGUCAUUAAGAUGUUGGGCCAGGCGUGAUGGCUCAUGCCUGUAAUCCCAGCACAUUGGGAGGCUGAGGCGGGCGGAUCACUUGAGGCCAGGAUUUUGAGACCAGACUGGCCAAAGUGGCAAAACCCCGUCUCUACCAAAAAUACAAAAAUUAGCCGGGUGUGACCACAUUUGACUCACUCCAUUUAUUCUACCCUCAACAGGGACUCUACAGAUAUGCUGCAAUGACCACUCUGUCACAAUGCAACCCCAUAGAACUCAUGUCUGCUUUCUCUAACUCCACCAAUUGGAAGGGAACUCUGAUUUGGUAGUAUCCUGGGCCCCAGUGAAUGACUCACUGCAUAGGUCUUCUCUGUUUCUCACUCCCCUCUCACUGGUUUGACAAUCUGCUUGUUGGCACCCUUCUUCUCUCUGGGAUCUAUGAGUAAUAAACUGCUUUUGUUUUUUUCAUGUGUUUUUGUUAUGUUGUCUUCUCUGUACCUCACCUGACUGACACACACAGACCUAAUUUUACUUCCAGUGAAAGCUCUCCUAAAGAGUGGCUAUCUUGGUAGGAAUAAACUGAACACAAGUCAGAAAAGAGCCUCAAGGGCAGUUGACGGUAUAAACAAGUUUCCUAUGAGAGGGACACCUGACCAUGGGUCAGAUACCUAGGCAUUAGGCCAUCUGCUAGGAUAAAGAAGUAUCCUGUGAAAGGCACAGUGUAAAUAUCGACAAACAAUCCCCUGGAACCUGAUCAGGGCAGGGCUAGAGUUUACACUCCCUCUGCAGAGAAAGAUCUCAAGACCAAACUAGAGAAAUACGACAUAACUUUUAGGUCUUGGAAAACCAGUAGCAAUGCUAUUCCUACUUUCUUUCAUUCUUCUCUUUGAAAUUAGCAUGGCUGCAAUGCUUCUACAGUAUGGAAGGUUAAAAAAAGAAAUAGUAUCCUCAAGUUCUGGGAAGAUAAAAGCUUGAAUAAAUGUUCCUGACACACUCUUCCUCCUGAAUCCUGCUGGAGAGUAACACAACAGCCAGGAUAGCAAAAACUGCUUAGUCUUCCACCACUCACUGGUUUACCACUGCUCAGGAGACCCUAAUCUGACCUAACUGCUAAGAAGUCAAAACUAUGAGCAGGGAGGUCAUACAGAGGUGUCCUGUGUCUAUCCAUACCAGAAAGUGCACAUCGACAGGGAACACAUGAUGGGAAGGCCAUAAGCAC